CCUACGGGGGGCAGCAGUGAGGAAUAUUGGUCAAUGGACGAGAGUCUGAACCAGCCAAGUAGCGUGAAGGAUGACUGCCCUAUGGGUUGUAAACUUCUUUUAUAUGGGAAUAAAAUGUUCCACGUGUGGGAUUUUGUAUGUACCAUAUGAAUAAGGAUCGGCUAACUCCGUGCCAGCAGCCGCGGUAAUACGGAGGAUCCGAGCGUUAUCCGGAUUUAUUGGGUUUAAAGGGAGCGUAGGUGGAUUGUUAAGUCAGGUGUGAAAGUUUGCGGCUCAAACGUAAAAUUGCAGUUGAAACUGGCAGUCGUGAGUACAGUAGAGGUGGGCGGAAUUCGUGGUGUAGCGGUGAAAUGCUUAGAUAUCACGAAGAACUCCGAUUGCGAAGGCAGCUCACUGGACUGCAACUGACACUGAGGCUCGAAAGUGUGGGUAUCAAACAGGAUUAGAUACCCCAGUAGUC
rnacentral:rRNA from 1 species